UACAGAGGGGGCAAGCGUUGUUCGGAAUUACUGGGCGUAAAGAGCGUGUAGGCGGCUAGGUAGGUCCGUUGUGAAAACUCGAGGCUCAACCUCGAGACGUCGAUGGAAACCAUCUAGCUAGAGUCCGGAAGAGGAGAGUGGAAUUCCUGGUGUAGCGGUGAAAUGCGCAGAUAUCAGGAAGAACACCCGUGGCGAAGGCGGCUCUCUGGUACGUGACUGACGCUGAGACGCGAAAGCGUGGGGAGCGAACAGG
rnacentral:rRNA from 1 species